CAGGGCUAUAAUGCCUGCAUAACGCAUUCCAUACAAAUCCCCGUCCUGCUCUUACCUACUUCGGUGAAACCUACCGCCAUUAACUGGCUAAAAUGGUUGGUCUGUAUUCUCAACUACUUGUUCAGCCCUUUGUUCAGCUCUGAAACUAGAAGAUUAUUCUUGGGUACCUAUGACACUGAUGAGGAAACAAAAAUGUGUCAGUCGGUCCUGAUCUUCAACAGCCUGGUCACAGGAAUAGUUGCUGCCUCUCUGCACUGAAUCUUUCAGCAGGAAAGAACUCGGGACACUGGGAGAUGGGGCUGCAGCUUUACUAACUGGUGCCUCUCUUACUUCCAGUGCCAUAACAAAAAAGCAUUUGAGCAUACCUCCCAGGGUGAAGAUGUAUUCUACAGGUAAUGAUACGUAACUGCAAGUGGAGAGGUCUCUGGGCAAAGAACCUGCAGCCCAAAACUUCCUUUCAAACAUGAUUGUUUGUUUUUACACGUUUGUGUUAUGAUACGGCCAGUCAAAAGGGUCUCAAUAGUCUGUUCAGUCCUUAGCUCAAUAGCUAGUUGGCUGGAGUGUCCUCUGUUUUGCCUGACCCAGAGAGGAUAUUAG
rnacentral:lncRNA from 1 species